rnacentral:rRNA from 1 species
CCCUUAGAUGUUCUGGGCCGCACGCGCGCUACACUGAUGCAUUCAACAAGCCUAGCCUUGACCGAGAGGUCCGGGUAAUCUUUGAAACUGCAUCGUGAUGGGGCUAGAUUAUUGCAAUUAUUAAUCUUCAACGAGGAAUGUCUAGUAAGCGUGAUUCAUCAAAUCGCGUUGAUUACGUCCCUGCCCUUUGUACACACCGCCCGUCGCUCCUACCGAUUGAAUGUGUUGGUGAGGAGCUCGGAUUGGCAGCAGUUGGUGGUUCGCCACCGGCUAUUGCUGAGAAGUCCUCCAAACCGCCCCAUUUAGAGGAAGGAGAAGUCGUAACA